UACGAAGGGGACUAGCGUUGUUCGGAAUCACUGGGCGUAAAGCGCACGUAGGCGGAUUUGUAAGUCAGGGGUGAAAUCCCGGGGCUCAACCUCGGAACUGCCUUUGAUACUGCGAGUCUUGAGUCCGAUAGAGGUGGGUGGAAUUCCUAGUGUAGAGGUGAAAUUCGUAGAUAUUAGGAAGAACACCAGUGGCGAAGGCGGCCCACCUGGAUCGGUACUGGACGCUGAGGUGCGAAAGCGUGGGGAGCAAACAGG
rnacentral:rRNA from 1 species